rnacentral:tRNA from 2 species
GCGGGCGUAGCUCAAUGGUAGAGCCCCAGCCUUCCAAGCUGGCCAUGCCGGUUCGAUCCCGGUCGCCCGCU